rnacentral:rRNA from 1 species
UCAGGUGGCCGCAGAGAAUAGGCCCAAGCGACUGUUUACCAAAAACAUAGGUUUCUGCUAAGUCGCAAGACGAUGUAUAGGAGCUGACGCCUGCCCGGUGCUGGAAGGUUAAGGGGAUCUGUUAGAGUAAUCGAAGCAGUGAACUUAAGCCCCAGUAAACGGCGGCCGUAACUAUAACGGUCCUAAGGUAGCGAAAUUCCUUGUCGGGUAAGCUCCGACCCGCACGAAAGGCGUAACGAUUUGGGCACUGUCUCAACAACAGACUCGGUGAAAUUGUAAUUCCGGUGAAGAUGCCGGAUACCUGCGACAGGACGGAAAGACCCCAUGGAGCUUUACUGUAGCUUGACAUUGGGUCUUGGUACUACAUGUACAGGAUAGGUGGGAGGCUUUGAAACCAGGACGCCAGUUUUGGCGGAGCCAUCCUUGGGAUACCACCCUU